rnacentral:rRNA from 1 species
ACGCACGCUGGCGGCGUGCCUAAUACAUGCAAGUAGAACGCUGAAGGAGGAGCUUGCUUCUCUGGAUGAGUUGCGAACGGGUGAGUAACGCGUAGGUAACCUGCCUGGUAGCGGGGGAUAACUAUUGGAAACGAUAGCUAAUACCGCAUAAGAGUAGAUGUUGCAUGACAUUUGCUUAAAAGGUGCAAUUGCAUCACUACCAGAUGGACCUGCGUUGUAUUAGCUAGUUGGUGGGGUAACGGCUCACCAAGGCGACGAUACAUAGCCGACCUGAGAGGGUGAUCAGCCACACUGGGACUGAGACACGGCCCAGACUCCUACGGGAGGCAGCAGUAGGGAAUCUUCGGCAAUGGACGGAAGUCUGACCGAGCAACGCCGCGUGAGUGAAGAAGGUUUUCGGAUCGUAAAGCUCUGUUGUAAGAGAAGAACGAGUGUGAGAGUGGAAAGUUCACACUGUGACGGUAGCUUACCAGAAAGGGACGGCUAACUACGUG